AGUGGAAGUGAAGGAUAGAUAAGCGGACAGACGGAAGCGUGGAAAUGUAUUUUGCAGUUCUUUCUUUCGUUUUUGUUUUGUUUUAGGGCUUUUUUUUUUGUCC
rnacentral:ribozyme from 1 species